AGCGAACGCUGGCGGCAGGCCUAACACAUGCAAGUCGAACGGAUCCUUCGGGAUUAGUGGCGGACGGGUGAGUAACACAUGGGAACGUGCCUUUUGGUUCGGAACAACUCAGGGAAACUUGAGCUAAUACCGGAUGUGCCCUUAGGGGGAAAGAUUUAUCGCCAUUAGAGCGGCCCGCGUCUGAUUAGCUUGUUGGUGAGGUAAAGGCUCACCAAGGCUACGAUCAGUAGCUGGUCUGAGAGGAUGAUCAGCCACACUGGGACUGAGACACGGCCCAGACUCCUACGGGAGGCAGCGGUGGGGAAUCUUGCGCAAUGGGCGAAAGCCUGACGCAGCCAUGCCGCGUGAAUGAUGAAGGUCUUAGGAUUGUAAAAUUCUUUCACCGGGGACGAUAAUGACGGUACCCGGAGAAGAAGCUCCGGCUAACUUCGUGCCAGCCGCCGCGGUAACAC
rnacentral:rRNA from 1 species